rnacentral:rRNA from 1 species
CCUAGGGGGGCUGCAGUGGGGAAUAUUGGACAAUGGGCGAAAGCCUGAUCCAGCCAUGCCGCGUGUGUGAAGAAGGCCUUCGGGUUGUAAAGCACUUUCAGUGGGGAAGAAAGCCUUGGGGCUAAUACCCUCGAGGAAGGACAUCACCCACAGAAGAAGCACCGGCUAACUCCGUGCCAGCAGCCGCGGUAAUACGGAGGGUGCGAGCGUUAAUCGGAAUUACUGGGCGUAAAGCGCGCGUAGGCGGUCUGAUAAGCCGGUUGUGAAAGCCCCGGGCUCAACCUGGGAACGGCAUCCGGAACUGUCAGGCUAGAGUGCAGGAGAGGAAGGUAGAAUUCCCGGUGUAGCGGUGAAAUGCGUAGUGAUCGGGAGGAAUACCAGUGGCGAAGGCGGCCUUCUGGACUGACACUGACGCUGAGGUGCGAAAGCGUGGGUAGCAAACAGGAUUAGAUACCCCAGUAGUC